ensembl:lincRNA
UCUUCUCUCUGCACUGUCUCUCCUUUGUGCAUCUUGGACUCCUGAAGGCCACUCAGAGCAUAGAUGCGCCAGCUUAGUUCUUUGGAGAAGCAGUGUGGAGUCCUAAAAAAGGAGGCUGAGUCUUACCGUUGAGGUCGGUGCCGGUAGAGAAUGGGAGGGAGUCUGCAGGAGCCAAGCACCCUAAAGAAGAGGAAGAGAGCACGUUGCUGAGAUUUGAACAGCGAUCUGAGAGGUCAGACUGGACCCAGGCCUCCUCAAGAAGCAACGGAGAUUCUUCCCUUUUCCCGGCCCUUCGGUCCUUCUCCGGAAGAGCUACUCUGGCCAGCUCUGGGCUAGGGGCAGUGGCCGAAGAGAAGGGGAAAGUAAGGUUGAGAGCACCGGAUUCCGAACCCAGCAGAGAGCGGUUUCUAGGCCCCACCCACCCUCCCCCCAAGGUUUUCUUAAAAGUGAAUCUUGGCGUGGUUUUUGCAGACCAAACAUCAGAAACCCGGGAGAGGAAUCUAGAGAGCGCAUUUUGUUCUGUUUUGCUUUAAUAAUAAGUAGUGUGCCUUGUUAAACACCCUAUUACCCCCGCCCCCUUCUCCCACAACCUCUCUGGAGAAGAGUCUUUCCGGAGCGCCUAGAAACCUAAAAAUAACACGCCACGCUGAAGGUCCGGAGAAGCCACCGGCCACCUCUACAGAGUGGGGAUGCUGCCCGUGAAAGCCCAAGCAGUUGAUCCUUUCCUUCCUUUGAGCCCAGGAUCCAAGCCCGAAAUAGAUGGGGAGGCCCCAACCCUACAGCCAUGAGGAAAAAGUGGUUCCUCGGUGACCCGUGUGGCCACCGUGACUAUCUUUCGAGUUAGAGCCUUUGGUCAAGUCUAGAUGUCACACUUUAAAUGCCUUCCAAUGUUCCCCUUCUCGAGUCUAAUUUUUGCAAAGAAAUGAGAUGGGACCAUCAGACUCUGCCUAUGUUGCUGCCAUCUGGUGUGCGAGCAGUCUCCAGCUUGUGCUCCAGCUUGUGCUGAGAAGCACGGCUGCAGUACCUUAGGGGUAAACCUAUGAUGCCAACCCCACUCACCUCCGCCAAUGUUUUUAGGUUUUUGCCUGUUGCUCUUAGGGAUCCAGGGGCAGAGUUUUGCCUUAGGUGCUGAAGACAGCUGCUGGAGCCUGUUGCUUUUUCACACCACAGAUACUUCAUGCUGCCUAAUAUUCUACCGAGCCAGCCUAGGGGACUUGGAUCUGUCUCGCCUGGGGCUAAGAGAAUAGUUUCUCUAAGAAGAAAACAGUUCUAACUCAAAGAUGCUGGAUCUGGCUUCCUUUAAAGCCUGAAGUCGCUGAAGUGGCCAUAGAACUAUGGGGUCCAGAGGACUGCCAGUCUCAGCCAGCCUUUAGGCUGGAGAGAGGCUGUGGGCCUGCUUGGGGACUAAAAUGGAUGAAUAAGAAACCUGUAAGAAAUGUAAACAGAUGAAAUGGUAAGGAGGAGAGCGCUGGAGAUUGUUCAGGUGUGAGCUGAGGUUUCUGAGUUUGUACUGGGGAUGCCUUUGCACACAGUGAGGUGCCCCCUCCCUAAGUGGCUCUUGUUUUGCACAAACAGCCCCACCCUGCGCACGCACUGUGGGUCUCAGUAGGGACUGAGGGUGUAGGUGCUCAGGUUUUGGGGGUGGUGGUGAAGGGGCACUCAGAAUCAACAAGACAGGGCGGGGAAAAUCAAAAUCAACCAAGGAACCAGCCUUCCAUUUCUGAAAAGCCGCGCUCUGGCCCCCGUGCUUCAGUUCUGAAAUACGAAUAAAUGGAGUCAGAUCCCGUACUACACUCCGGGGACAGAGUUUUAAUGUAAACGUAAAAUAUGCUUGUAAUAAUCACUUGUUGGCCCUGAAGCGCCACUAGAAUGAAUCUCUGUUUAAUUAUAGGGCAUGAGAGGAGUAUUACCAGCUAAUUAAACCCCAUCCUAUUUGUAAUUCCCCCUUUGCUGCUACCGACUUUUAAAUGCGAAAUUGCUCUUUCUUU